UAGGGAAUCUUGCGCAAUGGGCGAAAGCCUGACGCAGCCAUGCCGCGUGAAUGAUGAAGGUCUUAGGAUUGUAAAAUUCUUUCACCGGGGAAGAUAAUGACGGUACCCGGAGAAGAAGCCCCGGCUAACUUCGUGCCAGCAGCCGCGGUAAUACGAAGGGGGCUAGCGUUGCUCGGAAUUACUGGGCGUAAAGGGCGCGUAGGCGGAUAUUUAAGUUGGGGGUGAAAGCCCGGGGCUCAACCUCGGAAUAGCCCUCAAUACUGGAUAUCUUGAGUUCGGGAGAGGUGAGUGGAAUGCCGAGUGUAGAGGUGAAAUUCGUAGAUAUUCGGCGGAACACCAGUGGCGAAGGCGACUCACUGGCCCGAUACUGACGCUGAGGCGCGAAAGCGUGGGGAGCAAACAGGAUUAGAUACCCUGGUAGUCCACGCCGUAAACGAUGAGUGCUAGUUGUCGGCAUGCAUGCAUGUCGGUGACGCAGCUAACGCAUUAAGCACUCCGCCUGGGGAGUACGGUCGCAAGAUUAAAAACUUAAAUGAAUUGACGGGGUCAUAGCUGUUUCCUG
rnacentral:rRNA from 1 species